rnacentral:rRNA from 1 species
AGGGGAUACAAGCGUUACUCGGAAUUACUGGGCGUAAAGCGUCUGUAGGUUCUUACAAAAGUCUGGGGUAAAAACUCAGUGCUUAACACUGAGAGCGUCCCGGAAACUCUGUAGGUUGAGCAGUGGAGAGGCAUCUGGAAUGCCGCAUGUAGGAGUAAAAUCCGUAGAUAUGCGGUAGAACGCCAAAAGCGAAGGCAGGAUGCUAGCCACUUGCUGACACUGAGAGACGAAAGCGUGGGGAGCAAAAGGGAUUAGAUACCCCUGUAGUCCACGCCCUAAACGAUGCGAACUGGACGUUGGGCUCAAUUAGGAGCUCAGUGUCGAAGCUAACGCGUUAAGUUCGCCGCCUGGGGAGUACGGUCGCAAGACUG